rnacentral:lncRNA from 14 species
UUCACUUAGGACAAUAAUAAAGUUCAUAUGCAAUAUAUUGUCUUCCUUAUUUAUUUAUUUUUAAAUUUUUACUUAUUUACUUUUGCAUAUGUAUGUAUUAUGUAUGUAUGUGUGUAUGUAUGUAUUAUGUCUGUAUGUAUUAUGUAUGUAUGUAUGUGUGAUGUAUGUAUGUGUAUAUGUAUGUAUAUAUGUGUGUAUGUAUGUCUGUAUGUAUGCAUGUGUGCAUGUGUGUAUGAUGGGUUCAUGCCUGCUGUGGCGUACAUAUGGAAGUUAGAGGAUAACUUAUGUGAGUUGGUUCUUUCCUUCUACCAUGAGGUGCUCAGGACUAAACUCAGGUCAUUGGGUUGGGUAGUAAUAUCAUUUACCUACUAUGUCAUUUCUCUGGCCCCUUAUCUUUAAUUAUUGUAUAAUAUUUUCUAUUAAAUUAGUUCUUUAUUUAUGGAAAAUUAAAUUGUUUCCCACGGUCUGCAGUUAUAAAAACUGUUAAGAUAAAUAUUCAUCAUGCGUAUGCCAUCUGGAAUAUUUUUGGGGUCUUUCCUACAACUAUUGUAAACCUGUAUGUAUUUUCCACUAGGUUGAUAUGGAGGUGACCCUCCCAGGUGAGGGCAAGGACCAAACGUUCAAAGUGUCAGUGCAAUGGGUGUCAGUUGUGAGCCUUCAGCUGCUUUUAGAAGCUUUAGCUGGACACCUGAGUGAAGUCCCAGAUGACUCAGUACAAGCCCUUGACGUGAUUACAAGGCAUCUCCCCUCUAUGAGGUACACUCCAGUAGGCCGGUCUUUUUUCUCACCUCCUGAAGGUUACUACCACCCUCUGGGAGGGGGCAGAGAGGUCUGGUUCGGCUUUCACCAGUCUGUGCGCCCUGCCAUGUGGAAGAUGAUGCUCAACAUUGAUGUAUCUGCAACUGCUUUCUACCGGGCUCAGCCCAUCAUUGAGUUCAUGUGUGAGGUUUUAGACAUCCAGAACAUCAACGAGCAGACGAAACCUCUAACAGACUCCCAGCGUGUCAAGUUUACCAAAGAAAUCAGGGGUCUUAAAGUUGAGGUGACUCACUGUGGACAGAUGAAACGAAAAUAUCG